UACGAAGGGGGCUAGCGUUGUUCGGAAUCACUGGGCGUAAAGGGCUCGUAGGUGGCCAACUAAGUCGGACGUGAAAUCCCUCAGCUUAACUGGGGAACUGCGUCCGAUACUGGAUGGCUUGAGUUUGGGAGAGGGAUGCGGAAUUCCAGGUGUAGCGGUGAAAUGCGUAGAUAUCUGGAGGAACACCGGUGGCGAAGGCGGCAUCCUGGACCAACACUGACACUGAGGAGCGAAAGCCAAGGGAGCAAACAGG
rnacentral:rRNA from 1 species